rnacentral:rRNA from 1 species
UACGUAGGGUGCAAGCGUUAUCCGGAAUUAUUGGGCGUAAAGGGCUCGUAGGCGGUUCGGUAAGUCAGGUGUGAAAUCUCCCGGCUCAACUGGGAGGGUGCGGCGGAAACUGGGACGCUGGAGUACGGGAGAGGUAAGCGGAAUUCCUGGUGUAGCGGUGAAAUGCGUAGAUAUCAGGAGGAACACCGGUGGCGAAGGCGGUUCUCUGGGCAUUACCUGACGCUGAGGGAAG